UAGUUUGAAAUGAACUAAGAUGGGGGACA
rnacentral:piRNA from 1 species